GAGGGUUAGGAUUGACAUGUGAAAAAAUUGUUAUGCUACACCCACUACUGCACUAGAAGUACGUUAGGUACGAAACCACAUGAGACCCCUGGUAUUGCACCAAUUUUCUAAUAAGCCGUGUUCGUUUGGCUGACGGACAACUCACCAUGGUCCAGAGACAACAGGACAACUCGACUACAGAGAGGCCUGUAACAAUUAGAUAUUCAUGAAUGUGAGCUCAGUAGUCUAUGGUCAAACUCGCCUACUGAGCAGUCUCUCGACAGACAGUCAACUCACCAGUCGAGCAAUCGCUCUGUGACGUCAUCGAUGCUUGAGGAGAAGACAACUCGACUACAGAGCAACGAGGGGCAGACAACUCACCAGUUUAACAAUCGCUCUGCGAAGUGGAUCUCUGACACAUGCACCAAAAUUUGCAAGCCUAUAGAGCAGUAUAUGCUGAAGAAUAUAUAACAUCUGAGAGAAUCGAGCAAACGUGGAACAACACUUUAAAUGGUUACUGCGACUCGACUCUCUUGAGCAAGUCGUGUGUAAAAAUGAAGUUGACAAAGGCCUUCUGCAAGUCCAAGGAUUGAAAGAUGGAUGUAAUAAUCUUGCGAUUUACAACCCUACAAUUCGAACCUUUUGGUUUCUAUCUUUUCCAACUUUGAGGGAAUUUAGAAGAUCUGGAAGUUGGAGAGCCAUUGAAACGCCAAGCAUUUGUGUAUGGGCAUUGCUCUGCUCUCCUCAAAAUAGUCACUGACAAAACUGGUUUAUUUCUGCUGUGAUGCUAGGUCGUCAUUCGAAAGCAUGCUUCGUAUCAUGAAAUGAUUUAAUUUUGGUUCUCACUCGGAGUCUUUUUCUGGUUACUAUGAGACUGUAUUUCCCGGAGAUGAUUUCUACGUACUUGCUACAAGGUUGGUAACCAUGGACACUACGAAUGGCAACUGUAACUCUGAUUAGUGGAAAUUCAUCAAGCCAGAAACUGUCCCCUAGUGGCUGAGAACCAUCACAGCGAACCGUCUCGCUAGAGGUAAGAUCGGGCCCAAAAAUUCCAGCCCAACCGAGCCUGUGGGUAUUAAACCCGACCCGGGCCCGACUAAUUAACUGGAUUUGCAGACCAGAGCCCAAAUCAAACCCGAAAUUUCAUAUCUUAUUAAGGAGUUCUUUGAAUUGUCAUUGCAAGAGUUUAGUACAGUGUGUGUCAUGUUGAUGAGGCAACUACUAUUUUUAUGCAGACCACAUUCUCUCGUGGCCAAAACGCCUCGUUUAUAAAAAAGCCUGACUCGAACAUAAUGAUUGACAUUUUAGGCCCGACCCGGCCCGAAUUUCGGGUCAGGCUCGGGCUUUAGAUCUUAACUCUAAGUCUCGCUUACAGUGGAACAUACAAUAACCAAACCAAUGUAUGAUUGUGGACUAUGAUGAGUUUACAACUCCUAGAAAGACUGCUCGGUGAAACAGUCUACGAUGAUGUCUCUUCUUUUUGUUCAAACUUACUGGGCACUUACCGAAAUUAUUCGACGGUUCUGGUCAAUCAGCGAUGGUAGCUAAAUAUGGCAACUGGUUCACACACGACAAAAAUCCUUGAGCAAAAGUAUUCGCUCGCAACAACAAAAAAGUUGUCGACAUGGAUAGCCUGAUUAAAUUAAUGAGAUACAUUGAUUUCAAAAAUGAUCCGAUAUCGAGAUGUAAUUAUACUCCGCCCUACAGCGCUAAAAAUUAAAUCGCAGCACAUUGUGAGUUAAAUCCAGCAGAUGCUUUGUUUCUGUUUGGAUUACUAAAACAACAAGACCAUGCUGCUAUGGACGUAAAGCAACUUUGUAUUCCUUAUAAAAUGUUAUUGUCAUGAUGGCGGAAUCUGGCCCAAUCCGCGAUCAACAACCAGUUUUUGAGUUUUAAAAACUAUCGUAUGCAAAUUUGUCCCAUCUUGGAAUGCCUGCUAGGUUUGAUUUCAGCCCUGUACUGUUUGUAUGGCAUAAAUGAUAAGUUUAAUUUAGCCCUGUGUUGUUUUUAUGGGAUGAAACGUCAACUUCAUGCUGAGGUAUUAAACUUUCAUUCCAAUUUAUCGUUUUAAUUAUAAUCUUCAAAUUGUACUCACACAAAUGUAUUUCAUCUGGGAAUGCCCGAUAAGUUUGAUUCAGCCCUGUACUUUUUGUAUGGGAUAAAUAAUAAGUUUAUUUUUGUGUACGUGAUAAAUAAAGUCAAGUCUAUGCUAAAGCCUAAAGUUUUAAUCUAUUUUUACCAUUUUUAAUCAUAAUUAUUAAAUUUUUACUCAGAUUCAUACUGGUAUAUUAAUGUUGAAUUAUUGUUUAAUAUUGAACUGUGCCUUUGCUGUGAGUGAGUUUCUGAUACUUCUCUGAUAUGUAGCGAAGCCAAAGGCCAAAUUGUAUUGAUUUUUUGUUGUCAUAUGUAAUCUAUAAAGUCCCUUCACAAUUCCAAUAUGGUUAUGAAGUCAGUUCUCGAUUUAUCUUAACCAGGUUUGUUGUUUUUUAAUCAGUAAUUGUUCAAAUAUUUUUACCUAAUUAAAUAUAUCUCAACACAAUAUUAUAAAAAAAUUGAAAAUUUAUUGAAAAUACAUGGGCCGUAAAUAUCCAAAAUAAAUAAAUUCAAAUAUCCAAAAAGGCGGGCAAGAUAGAAUCUAACGAAUAUUUUUAUUUCAACUUUCAUUCCAUUUUAUCGUUUUAUUUACACCCCGCUGUUCAAGAACCACUGAUAUAGAAAUACCUUUUUCUCACUUGAAACUCGAAAAUCCCAAGUUUGUACUGUCUGGGAAAAACGUAAAAGAAUCCAAAGUUAUUGCAUCCAAAUUCUUUGCGUAUCCUAGAGCUUUCAAAAUCGGGAUUUUCUUGAAUUUUAGGUCAAAUUUCUCGCAGUCUAAAGCUGGGGGACCAUUUUUGUAAUAUGGAGUCAACAGUCUGUUGUAAAUUGGCCCCUUUUAAAACCUCUUCUCCCCCUAAGCUCUAACUCUUUAUCAUCAAAACCACGAUUUUUUUGCAGCCCACAGUUGGAAGUCUAUUUUUUAUCUCCGGAGUCAGAGUUGAUUGUAAAUUGGCCCCAUUUACAGCCUAAUUUUCAGACAGUAUACUAUUUUCCACUUUGAAAUUUUAUAACAGUAUAUCAUUAUGCUUUUUUAUUGUGUGAAUAUUUAUUGCAAUAAAUUCAUCAUAUGCAAAAUAUUA